UAGUUUAGAGGAAUAGAGAGCUGAGCUGUCCCAAUUGCCCAUGCUAAUACACGUGGGUAAACUUUAUGCUCCACCCUCCAACCACUCCUAAUAACAACAGUGUAGAUAUUUUAAAUGGAUGUGAACCUCGAUGCAUAAUGAACUGUACAUGCUAAAACCUUUGAGAGGAUUUCUCACUGGAUGACUGGAACAGCGCAGUAGUCAAUAUACAGUCUAAUGUAGUGCUAAUGAAUGAAGAGAUAUGCUAGCUUUAAUACUUUAUAGAAGCAAAAUACAAUGACUCUGAAGGUCAUUAUGAUGAUUUACAUGUCUCCUUAGGAUAUUGCUGCUGUUUAUAUGAGAAUGGAUGUAGAGAGCUAAUGAAUCAAAGUUAUUAAGCCAUUAUUGAGCUUUAUCUGAUCCAUCAGUACAGAAAGCAGUGGCACUAUAGUUAUAAUGGUUGCCCGUAAUCACUCAGACCAUAACUCAGAUGUGUCGUUAGUGGAGGAAUGGUUUAUUUGCCAACUAUAGGCUGUUACAGUUUUGGAAGUCAAGAGAAAGGUCUA